rnacentral:rRNA from 1 species
UACGUAGGGUGCAGGCGUUAAUCGGAAUUACUGGGCGUAAAGCGUGCGCAGGCGGCGCCUUAAGUCAGAUGUGAAAGCCCCGGGCUUAACCUGGGAACUGCGUUUGAAACUGGGGAGCUGGAGUGUAGAAGAGGGGGGUGGAAUUCCAGGUGUAGCAGUGAAAUGCGUAGAUAUCUGGAGGAACACCGAUGGCGAAGGCAGCCCCCUGGGCUAACACUGACGCUCAUGCACGAAAGCGUGGGGAGCAAACAGG